UACAAACAACAACAACAACAACAAACCCAGUGUAUUCCCACUUAGUGGGGUCUGGGGGGGGUAAGAUGUACGCAGUCCAUACCUCUACCUCUGAUGAAGUAGAAAGGCUGUUUCCGAAAGACCCCCGGCUCAAGGCACAAGAUAUCACACAAACACAUAGUAAAGCACAGGAGCAGAUGACAUAACAUAAAUACGACACCCAUAAGGAAUAUAAAACAGAGGAAAGCAGAGGAAAGCACACAGAUUCGUAAUAAGCAUGGAACACUGAAUACGGAAUCAUAACAGGAAUAAAAAAUAAAAAACCCC
rnacentral:lncRNA from 1 species